GUAGGAAGUGAGAGAGUGGGUGUUAUUCCAGUAACAAAUGACCACACCUGAGCAUGAUCCGGGUCAGCGAGAAUCCUGCAAGUCACUCCUAUAUCCUCAACAAAACCAGAGCAGCUGCAGAUGUGGGAAUCAACAGUGAGACAAUUGUGAAACCAGCUUCAAUUUCAGAGGAAGAAUUGUUGAGUUUACUCAAGAAACUGAAUAGUAAUGAUAAUGUAGAUGGCCUCCUUGUUCAGCUGCCUCUUCCAGAGCAUAUUAAUAAGAGAAAGACCUGCAGUGCUGUUUCUCCAGACAAGGAUGUUGACGGCUUCCGUGUAAUUAAUGUAGGGCGAAUAUGUUUGGACCAGUAUUCCAUGUUACGGGCUACCCCAUGGGAAAUAAUUAAGCGAACUGGCAUUCCUACCCUAGGGAAGAAUGUGGUUGUGGCUGGAAGGUCAAAAAAUGUUGGAAUGCACAUUGCAAUGUUACUGCACACAGAAAGGGUCCAUGAAGGUCCCGAGGGUGAUGCCACUGUUACAAUAUCUCAUCAAUAUUCUCCCAAAGAGCAGCUGAAGAAACAUACGAUUCUUGCAGAUAUUGUAAGAUCUGCUGCCAGCAUUCCAAAUCUGAUCACAGCAGAUACCAUCAAGGAAGGAGCAGCAGUCAUUGAUCUGGGAAUAAAUAGAGUUCACAAUCCCGAAACUGUCAAACCUAAUUGUUUGGAGAUGGGGAUUUUGAAGGAGUCAGACAAAAAGCUGGUUAUAUCACUCCAGUUCCUGGAGGUGUUGUCUCCAUAACAGUGACGAUGCUAAUGAGAAUACCUUUAUUGCUGCAAAAGAAAAGGGAGGGAGCUGAGGCUUGAAGCACAAGAAGUGCUGAAGUCUAAAGAGCUUGGAGUAGUCACUAAUUUAUUGUGUCUUCUAUGCCACAAGCAGAACUCCAAGCCAGAUCAAGAAGCAAAGCAGGCCAAUAGAAAUGCAAUAUUUUUAAUUUAUUCUACUGAAAUGGUUUAAAACGAUGCUUUGUAUUUGUUGAAAGCUUAAAUGGGUAGGUGUUUGUGCACAUAGCUCGGUAGUACCUCACCAGGGAGCAUUCCAGGAUCGCGCAGGGUCACGUGAUCUAGCCAAGAACAGCCAUUAACCUAUUGAUGAACAUGGGAGACAUUGUCAUAUUGGGAGUGGACGCUUAACUUUGUCAAGCACCUCAGUUAAACAUUUGCCUUUUCUAGAAUUGCAUUUCCCAAGUGCUAUUCCAGUAAGAGUUGAUACUCAUUUCAGGUACUAAACCUUUUAGGUUCAACUGAUUAAACCAAAGGAAAAAUGUUGCUAGAGAAGAUUAAGGAAAAGAUGAAAAAUAAAAAAUGGUAAUAAUUGAGUAGAAAAAAAUUACUCGAAUUUAUAUAUGGAUUGAUUGGUAACCAGGUUUAUCUAAGUAGAACUGAAUUGGCUUGGAUAAAAGAAAAACUACAUGUUAAUCAUUUACCUACGCUGUCAUUUUGAAGCUUAGUCAGUCAUUGGGAAAACGUUUAGAAUUGUUCCUUGCUAUUAGGCCUCAUUUUAUGUAUGUUACCCUUCAGUAAGUUCUCCCCAUUUUAGUUUUCUAGAAUUUAAAGGCUUAUUUUAUAGAUUAUUCAUGUGUAUUAUCAUAUUUGGCUUUUGCUAUAUACUUCAUUGGUAAAUUUUUGUAUUGCAUAGUUUCUUUGAUAUAUCUUAAAACCUAUUUUUGAAAAACAAACUUGGCUUGAUAAUGAUUUGGGCAGCGUGGGUAACUAUGCAACUUAUUUUUCCACCAAAGAAUUGUCAGCAGCUGCCUACUUUUCUGUGAUGUACCCUGCUGACUUUUCCAGAAAAAUUUUAAGAGUUUGAGUUAAUAUCGAAUUUAAUCAGACUUUCUGAUUAAAGGUUUUUAAAAAAAAAAAAAUAAAACACAUCUGUCUGGUGUCUUUAAAAAGAAAGAAAAUUAUAGAAUAAAAUAGUCUCAUUGCUUUCAGCAUUUAAGCUUGAGACCUUUUU